AACGCUGGCGGCGUGCCUAAUACAUGCAAGUCGAACGAACUCUGGUAUUGAUUGGUGCUUGCAUCAUGAUUUACAUUUGAGUGAGUGGCGAACUGGUGAGUAACACGUGGGAAACCUGCCCAGAAGCGGGGGAUAACACCUGGAAACAGAUGCUAAUACCGCAUAACAACUUGGACCGCAUGGUCCGAGUUUGAAAGAUGGCUUCGGCUAUCACUUUUGGAUGGUCCCGCGGCGUAUUAGCUAGAUGGUGGGGUAACGGCUCACCAUGGCAAUGAUACGUAGCCGACCUGAGAGGGUAAUCGGCCACAUUGGGACUGAGACACGGCCCAAACUCCUACGGGAGGCAGCAGUAGGGAAUCUUCCACAAUGGACGAAAGUCUGAUGGAGCAACGCCGCGUGAGUGAAGAAGGGUUUCGGCUCGUAAAACUCUGUUGUUAAAGAAGAACAUAUCUGAGAGUAACUGUUCAGGUAUUGACGGUAUUUAACCAGAAAGCCACGGCUAACUACGUGCCAGCAGCCGCGGUAAUACGUAGGUGGCAAGCGUUGUCCGGAUUUAUUGGGCGUAAAGCGAGCGCAGGCGGUUUUUUAAGUCUGAUGUGAAAGCCUUCGGCUCAACCGAAGAAGUGCAUCGGAAACUGGGAAACUUGAGUGCAGAAGAGGACAGUGGAACUCCAUGUGUAGCGGUGAAAUGCGUAGAUAUAUGGAAGAACACCAGUGGCGAAGGCGGCUGUCUGGUCUGUAACUGACGCUGAGGCUCGAAAGUAUGGGUAGCAAACAGGAUUAGAUACCCUGGUAGUCCAUACCGUAAACGAUGAAUGCUAAGUGUUGGAGGGUUUCCGCCCUUCAGUGCUGCAGCUAACGCAUUAAGCAUUCCGCCUGGGGAGUACGGCCGCAAGGCUGAAACUCAAAGGAAUUGACGGGGGCCCGCACAAGCGGUGGAGCAUGUGGUUUAAUUCGAAGCUACGCGAAGAACCUUACCAGGUCUUGACAUACUAUGCAAAUCUAAGAGAUUAGACGUUCCCUUCGGGGACAUGGAUACAGGUGGUGCAUGGUUGUCGUCAGCUCGUGUCGUGAGAUGUUGGGUUAAGUCCCGCAACGAGCGCAACCCUUAUUAUCAGUUGCCAGCAUUAAGUUGGGCACUCUGGUGAGACUGCCGGUGACAAACCGGAGGAAGGUGGGGAUGACGUCAAAUCAUCAUGCCCCUUAUGACCUGGGCUACACACGUGCUACAAUGGAUGGUACAACGAGUUGCGAACUCGCGAGAGUAAGCUAAUCUCUUAAAGCCAUUCUCAGUUCGGAUUGUAGGCUGCAACUCGCCUACAUGAAGUCGGAAUCGCUAGUAAUCGCGGAUCAGCAUGCCGCGGUGAAUACGUUCCCGGGCCUUGUACACACCGCCCGUCACACCAUGAGAGUUUGUAACACCCAAAGUCGGUGGGGUAACCUUUUAGGAACCAGCCGCCUAAGGU
rnacentral:rRNA from 2 species